GGCAACCCUGAUCCCAGCCAUGCCGCGUGUGUGAAGAAGGCCUUUUGGUUGUAAAGCACUUUAAGCGAGGAGGAGGCUCUUCUAGUUAAUACCUAGGAUGAGUGGACGUUACUCGCAGAAUAAGCACCGGCUAACUCUGUGCCAGCAGCCGCGGUAAUACAGAGGGUGCGAGCGUUAAUCGGAUUUACUGGGCGUAAAGCGUACGUAGGCGGCUUUUUAAGUCGGAUGUGAAAUCCCUGAGCUUAACUUAGGAAUUGCAUUCGAUACUGGGAAGCUAGAGUAUGGGAGAGGAUGGUAGAAUUCCAGGUGUAGCGGUGAAAUGCGUAGAGAUCUGGAGGAAUACCGAUGGCGAAGGCAGCCAUCUGGCCUAAUACUGACGCUGAGGUACGAAAGCAUGGGGAGCAAACAGGAUUAGAUACCCUGGUAGUCCAUGCCGUAAACGAUGUCUACUAGCCGUUGGGGCCUUUGAGGCUUUAGUGGCGCAGCUAACGCGAUAAGUAGACCGCCUGGGGAGUACGGUCGCAAGACUAAAACUCAAAUGAAUUGACGGGGGCCCGCACAAGCGGUGGAGCAUGUGGUUUAAUUCGAUGCAACGCGAAGAACCUUACCUGGUCUUGACAUAGUAAGAACUUUCCAGAGAUGGAUUGGUGCCUUCGGGAACUUACAUACAGGUGCUGCAUGGCUGUCGUCAGCUCGUGUCGUGAGAUGUUGGGUUAAGUCCCGCAACGAGCGCAACCCUUUUCCUUAUUUGCCAGCGGGUUAAGCCGGGAACUUUAAGGAUACUGCCAGUGACAAACUGGAGGAAGGCGGGGACGACGUCAAGUCAUCAUGGCCCUUACGACCAGGGCUACACACGUGCUACAAUGGUCGGUACAAAGGGUUGCUACUGCGCGAGCAGAUGCUAAUCUCAAAAAGCCGAUCGUAGUCCGGAUCGCAGUCUGCAACUCGACUGCGUGAAGUCGGAAUCGCUAGUAAUCGCGGAUCAGAAUGCCGCGGUGAAUACGUUCCCGGGCCUUGUACACACCGCCCGUCACACCAUGGGAGUUUGUGCACCAGAAGUAGGUAGUCUAACCUAAGGAGGGCG
rnacentral:rRNA from 1 species